rnacentral:rRNA from 1 species
AUCAACUUUCGAUGGUAGGAUAGAGACCUACCAUGGUGGUAACGGGUAACGGGGUGUUAGGGCACGACACCGGAGAGGGAGCCUGAGAAACGGCUACCACAUCCAAGGAUGGCAGCAGGCGCGCAAAUUACCCAAUCCCGACACGGGGAGGUAGUGACAAUAAAUAACAAUACGGGGUUCUUUAGGAUCUCGUAAUUGGAAUGAGUACAAAUUAAAUCUCUUAACGAGGAACAAUUGGAGGGCAAGUCUGGUGCCAGCAGCCGCGGUAAUUCCAGCUCCAAUAGCGUAUAUUAAAGUUGUUGCAGUUAAAAAGCUCGUAGUUGAAUUUCGGGAUCAGUAUGUUGGUCGUGCUUCGGUACGUACUGUCAUUACUGGUUUCUCCCUUCUGAAGAACCUUGAUGUCAUUAAUUUGGUGUCUUGGGGAAUCAGGACUGUUACUUUGAAAAAAUUAGAGUGUUUAAAGCAGGCAUACGCUUGAAUACAUUAGCAUGGAAUAAUGAAAUAGGACGUUCGAUCUUAUUUUGUUGGUUUCUAAGAUUGACGUAAUGAUUAAUAGGGAUAGUUGGGGGCAUUAGUAUUCAAUUGUCAGAGGUGGAAUUCUUGGAUUUAUUGAAGACUAACUACUGCGAAAGCAUUUGCCAAGGAUGUUUUCAUUAAUCAAGAACGAAAGUUAGGGGAUCGAAGACGAUCAGAUACCGUCGUAGUCUUAACCAUAAACUAUGCCGACUAGGGAUCGGAUGAUGUUAAUUUUUUGAUGACUCAUUCGGCGCCUUACGGGAAACCAAAGUGUUUGGGUUC